CACUCAUUUACAUCAUCAUCCAAUACUAUGACCAUUUAUUUUAGCUCUGAUUACCAGAAAACAAGUUUUGGCUUUCUUGCAAAUUACUACUCCCGGGCACUGUUCGAAAGUAAACCUGGUGACAGUGGAUCAUUUUCAGGUGUACGAUGUGGAGGAAGAUUAGAUGAUGACGAUGGAUCUUUUGCCAGCCCCAAUUACCCACA